rnacentral:rRNA from 1 species
GCACAAUGGGGGAAACCCUGAUGCAGCCAUGCCGCGUGUGUGAAGAAGGCCUUCGGGUUGUAAAGCACUUUCAGUAGGGAGGAAGGUAGUGUAGUUAACACCUGCAUUAUUUGACGUUACCUACAGAAGAAGCACCGGCUAACUCCGUGCCAGCAGCCGCGGUAAUACGGAGGGUGCGAGCGUUAAUCGGAAUUACUGGGCGUAAAGCGCAUGCAGGCGGCCUGUUAAGUCAGAUGUGAAAGCCCGGGGCUUAACCUCGGAAUUGCAUUUGAAACUGGCAGGCUAGAGUCUUGUAGAGGGGGUAGAAUUUCAGGUGUAGCGGUGAAAUGCGUAGAGAUCUGAAGGAAUACCAGUGGCGAAGGCGGCCCCCUGGACAAAGACUGACGCUCAGAUGCGAAAGCGUGGGGAGCAAACAGGAUUAGAUACCCCUGGUAG